rnacentral:lncRNA from 1 species
GCCUGCAAAUCCACAGGUGAUAAAGCACCCAGGAAAUAGCUAGCUACAAAAGCUGCUCACAAGAGUGCAAUUUCUCCUGGAGGGGUGAAGAAACUUCAUUGUUCCAGGCCUGGUACUAUGGUACUCUGUGAAAUCAGACACUAUCAGAAGUCCACUGAACUUCUGAUUCCCAGGGUCCCCUUUCAGCAUCUGGUUCAAGAAUUGCUCA